rnacentral:rRNA from 1 species
GUAGGUGGCAAGCGUUGUCCGGAAUUAUUGGGCGUAAAGCGCGCGCAGGCGGUCCUUUAAGUCUGAUGUGAAAGCCCACGGCUCAACCGUGGAGGGUCAUUGGAAACUGGGGGACUUGAGUACAGAAGAGGAAAGCGGAAUUCCAAGUGUAGCGGUGAAAUGCGUAGAGAUUUGGAGGAACACCAGUGGCGAAGGCGGCUUUCUGGUCUGUAACUGACGCUGAGGCGCGAAAGCGUGGGGAGCAAACAGGAUUAGAUACCCUGGUAGUCCACGCCGUAAACGAUGAGUGCUAAGUGUUAGGGGUUUCCCGCCCCCUUAGUGCUGCAGCUAACGCAUUAAGCACUCCGCCUGGGGGAGUACGGCCGCAAGGCUG